AAUUUAGUUCACUCUAAACUGAACUAAGGAAAAAUGUUGUUUGUAAUGGAAAGUAAAGUUUAAAAUUAUGUACGUAGAGGAAAACAGUGUGUGUAUGAGGGUCGCCAUGUUGAAGUUUCAACUUUUUAACUGAAACGCUAUUAACUGGUUUGACUUCAAACCCAGCAUUCUGAUUAGCUGACAGGUUUAUCUUUUGCUACACUGCCCCCUAUGGGUUUGGCAUAUUU